rnacentral:rRNA from 1 species
GUGCCAGCCGCCGCGGUAAUACGAAGGGUGCAAGCGUUACUCGGAAUUACUGGGCGUAAAGCGUGCGUAGGCGGUUCGUUAAGUCCGAUGUGAAAGCCCUGGGCUCAACCUGGGAACUGCAUUGGAAACUGGCGGGCUGGAGUGCGGUAGAGGGUGGCGGAAUUCCCGGUGUAGCAGUGAAAUGCGUAGAUAUCGGGAGGAACACCCGUGGCGAAGGCGGCCACCUGGACCAGCACUGACGCUGAGGCACGAAAGCGUGGGGAGCAAACAGGAUUAGAAACC